UACCAGCUUCCUCCAAUGCUGCCUGCAUU
rnacentral:piRNA from 1 species